GGGGAAGAGAUGUCCCUGAAUCUGCACUCAUGCUUGGAAGUCUGGUGUGUUUUACACUGAUCGGAUGACAUUUCGAUUCAGACUAGCCUCAGUUCAAGUGCUCCCUAGCCACUGGUGACUAGCAGCCACCACACUGGUCCCUGCAUAUCUGAAGAGCAUGCCAAGUGAGAAGAGAAAAAGACGAAAAAGAAUGCAGUUUCCACUUACGGCUGCAGCUUCGGACAAGUCCAAUUACACAGUGAUGAUUAAGCCUUCCUAAUAUAAUCCCACUCUCCAAUCUGCUGUGCUGGUUGACUUUGGGGAUGGUUGUCAGCUCUGUGACUUGGUUUUGUGGCCUCUUGACGGUCUACACAGGGCAUUCAUGGACUUGGAGGAAGAUGGGAGAGUCCAGAGGCAAGGAGGACACUGCAGG